GAUGAACGCUAGCGGCAGGCCUAAUACAUGCAAGUCGAACGGGAUCCAGAUCAAAGCUUGCUUUGGUCUGGUGAGAGUGGCGCACGGGUGCGUAACGCGUGAGCAACCUACCCUUGUCAGGGGGAUAGCCCGGCGAAAGUCGGAUUAAUACCGCAUGACAUCAUUGAGAGGCAUCUUUCGAUGAUCAAAGAUUUAUCGGACAAGGAUGGGCUCGCGUGACAUUAGCUAGUUGGUAAGGUAACGGCUUACCAAGGCUGCGAUGUCUAGGGGCUCUGAGAGGAGAAUCCCCCACACUGGUACUGAGACACGGACCAGACUCCUACGGGCGGCAGCAGUAAGGAAUAUUGGUCAAUGGACGGAAGUCUGAACCAGCCAUGCCGCGUGCAGGAAGACGGCCCUAUGGGUUGUAAACUGCUUUUAUACGGGAACAAACGUCGGUACGUGUACCGGUCUGAGUGUACCGUAAGAAUAAGGAUCGGCUAACUCCGUG
rnacentral:rRNA from 1 species